AACGAACGCUGGCGGCAUGCCUAACACAUGCAAGUCGAACGCUUCUCUUCGGAGAGGAGUGGCGCACGGGUGAGUAACGCGUGGGAACCUGCCCCGGAGUGGGGGAUAACCCGGCGAAAGCCGGGCUAAUACCGCAUACGGCCUAUGGGCGAAAGAUUUAUCGCUCUGGGAGGGGCCCGCGUCCGAUUAGCUAGUUGGUGGGGUAACGGCCCACCAAGGCGACGAUCGGUAGCUGGUCUGAGGGGAUGAUCAGCCACACUGGGACUGAGACACGGCCCAGACUCCUACGGGAGGCAGCAGUGGGGAAUAUUGGACAAUGGGGGCAACCCUGAUCCAGCAAUGCCGCGUGAGUGAUGAAGGCCUUAGGGUUGUAAAGCUCUUUCGCACGCGACGAUGAUGACGGUAGCGUGAGAAGAAGCCCCGGCUAACUUCGUGCCAGCCGCCGCCGUAA
rnacentral:rRNA from 1 species